UUGCACCGUGUAGCGGCGUUCCGUGUCAUUUAGCUUUCGACUCUCGAACGCUAUUGGUGGCCUUCUUGCAUAAGGACUCCACCUAUGGCGAAAUCCGAGGCAUCCGUUUUGAACUUUCAAAAGGGCUUGGUGUGGUCCGGAAGAGCGAGGACUGGUUCCUCCGAAAUUGCCUUCUUCAACUCCUCGAAGGCGCGUUGGCACUCUUCGGACCAAUGCCAUGUUCUGUUUUUUCUUGAGCAUAUCCGUCAAGGGUGCCGCCUUAGCUGAAUAGCCCUUGAUGAAGCGGCGGUAGUAAUUCACCAGUCCAAGGAAUGAGCGAAGUUCGGGUACUUUCGAGGGAGGCUCCCAAUCGAGGAUGGCCUUUACUUUGUCAUUCUCCAUCAUGAUCUUCCCGCCCGCAAUCUUGUGGCCAAGGAACUCCACCUCUUGUUGGGCAAACGAGCACUUCUCUAGUUUGAGGAAGAGCUCAUUGUCUCGAAAGUACUUGAGGACUUGUUGCAAGUGUUGGGCAUGCUCCUCGAGCGUGGUGCUAUACACCACUAUGUCAUCCAAGUACACGACCACGAAAGCGGUCGAGGAAUGGUUGGAGCACCUUGUUCAUGAGUGUGCAAAAAAUGUGGCGGGUGCAUUAGUAAGGCCAAAAGGCAUCACAAGGAAUUCGAAAGACCCGUACCUUGUUGUGCACGCUGUCUUUUGUUCAUCUCCCUUGGCGAUGCCGCACUUGGUAGUACCCGGAGCGCAAGUCAAGUUUGGUGAAGUACCGCGCUUUACCAAGCUGGUCGAACACAAGUCCGCAAUCAAGGAAUCGGAUACUUGUUCUUGAUGGUGAUCUUGUUGAGCGCUCUAUAGUCGAUGCACAUCCGCAGCGAUCCAUCCUUUUUCUUUUGGAAGAGGACCGGUGCACCGAAUGGGGCCUUUGAGGGGCGAAUAUAGCCUGCGUCCAGCAAGUCUUUGAGUUGUCUCCGCAACUCCUCUAAUUCGGGUGGCGCCAUGCGGUAUAGGGCGCCAAGGCUGGUGGCUUCGCGCCUUGUUCCAGCUCGAUCGCAUGAUCUACCUCUCGCAGAGGUGGGAGCUUCUUCGGAAGUUCUGGAGGCAUCACGUCCUUGUACUUAUUGAGGACGGCUUGAAUUUGCGGAGGGACUUGGCUUGGCGAAGUUCCGCUAUUUCCUUCCUCAUUUAGUUCCCGAAUGGAGACUAAGAAGCUUGGGUCCUUCUUGAAAGCCUUCUUGAAUUGCAUGGCGGAGAGUGUCUUUUCCUCGGACUUGCCUCGUUCCGUGGGAACCAUGCAUGCCUUACUCCCGUCGAGGAUACUUAGGGAGUUUGUAGCGGGCAGCGGGAAGGCAUGGACUUGGUCGAAGAAUUCCAUGCCGAGGACCAUCUUGAAGUCAUCCAUGGGCACAAUGGAGAAGUCAAGCUUUCCGCUCCACGUACCGAGUGUGAUGUGCACGCCUUGUGCAAUUCCCGCAAUUGGCUUGGCGGGUGAGUUCACAGCCUUCAUUGUGCCUCCUUCCUUGGUGGCCUUGAGGCCUAAGCGCUUGGCCUCGUCUACAGACACAAAUUGUGUGUUGCUCCCGUGUCUAGCAGCGCGCGAACGGACUGACCGUUUACCUUUGCGCUUACAUACAUGAGCCCUUUCUUGACGAGUGCGGGCUGUUGGCGAUUGAGUGCGCCGAGGCGUUGGAGAGAACCCAUGCUGAGUUGGGGUUCCUCCGUGGACAUUGUGGGGUUACUCUUGAGUUGGGCAGCAAGAGCGUUAAGCGACCUCUUCUCCGGACAGUCGCGCACCCAAUGAGGACCAUUGCAUAUGAAGCAUGGGCUUCGCGGCUUUGGCGCCUCCUUCUUGCCCUCCGAUUUUCCUUGCCAACUCUUGUUGCUAGGCGGCUUUUUCUGCCCCCAAUCUUUGCGGUUGUUGCCCUUGUCCUUGCGACUCUCUCCCCCACCUUUGCCUUGGUUGGCCUUUUUGUCCUUGGAUUGGGU
rnacentral:lncRNA from 1 species